rnacentral:rRNA from 1 species
GAUGAACGCUGGCGGCGUGCCUAAUACAUGCAAGUCGAGCGAACAGAUGAGGAGCUUGCUCCUCUGACGUUAGCGGCGGACGGGUGAGUAACACGUGGAUAACCUACCUAUAAGACUGGGAUAACUUCGGGAAACCGGAGCUAAUACCGGAUAAUAUAUUGAACCGCAUGGUUCAAUAGUGAAAGACGGUUUUGCUGUCACUUAUAGAUGGAUCCGCGCCGCAUUAGCUAGUUGGUAAGGUAACGGCUUACCAAGGCAACGAUGCGUAGCCGACCUGAGAGGGGGAUCGGCCACACUGGAACUGAGACACAGUCCAGACUCCUACGGGAGGCAGCAGUAGGGAAUCUUCCGCAAUGGGCGAAAGCCUGACGGAGCAACGCCGCGUGAGUGAUGAAGGUCUUCGGAUCGUAAAACUCUGUUAUUAGGGAAGAACAAAUGUGUAAGUAACUAUGCACGUCUUGACGGUACCUAAGCAGAAAGCCACGGCUAACUACGU